rnacentral:rRNA from 1 species
AACGAACGCUGGCGGCAUGCCUAACACAUGCAAGUCGAACGAGACCUUCGGGUCUAGUGGCGCACGGGUGCGUAACGCGUGGGAACCUGCCCUUAGGUUCGGAAUAACUCCCCGAAAGGGGUGCUAAUACCGGAUAACGUCUUCGGACCAAAGAUUUAUCGCCUUUGGAUGGGCCCGCGUUGGAUUAGCUAGUUGGUAGGGUAAAAGCCUACCAAGGCGACGAUCCAUAGCUGGUCUGAGAGGAUGAUCAGCCACACUGGGACCGAGACACGGCCCAGACUCCUACGGGAGGCAGCAGUGGGGAAUAUUGGACAAUGGGCGAAAGCCUGAUCCAGCAAUGCCGCGUGAGUGAUGAAGGCCUUAGGGUUGUAAAGCUCUUUUACCCGGGAUGAUAAUGACAGUACCGGGAGAAUAAGCUCCGGCUAACUCCGUG